UGCACCCUACGGUGUGCGUGAUUGCCUUGAAGUUUUGAUCCAACACAACUAUAAAGGGAGCCUAUCUCUAAUUGUGGCUUGUAUGCCCGACAAGGGACACAAUAAGUAAUUAGGAGGGCACCCACCUGUUAAACAACGGGUUCAAGAAACUUUGGGGUUCACGGCACAAGUGGGGUUCAA
rnacentral:other from 1 species